rnacentral:rRNA from 1 species
AUGCACGCUGGCGGCGUGCUUAACACCUGCAAGUCGCACGGAAAGGCUCCUGCUUGCAGGGGUACUCGAGUGGCGAACGGGUGAGUAACACGUGGGUGAUCUGCCCUGCACUUCGGGAUAAGCCUGGGAAACUGGGUCUAAUACCGGAUAGGACGAUGGUUUGGAUGCCAUUGUGGAAAGUUUUUUCGGUGUGGGAUGAGCUCGCGGCCUAUCAGCUUGUUGGUGGGGUAAUGGCCUACCAAGGCGUCGACGGGUAGCCGGCCUGAGAGGGUGUACGGCCACAUUGGGACUGAGAUACGGCCCAGACUCCUACGGGAGGCAGCAGUGGGGAAUAUUGCACAAUGGGCGCAAGCCUGAUGCAGCGACGCCGCGUGGGGGAUGACGGCCUUCGGGUUGUAAACUCCUUUCGCUAGGGACGAAGCGCAAGUGACGGUACCUGGAGAAGAAGCACCGGCUAACUACGUG